GGGUACUGGAGUGGUUGUAUAUACAGGUCAGUACCUUAUUCAAUGUCCAGGGGUACUGGAGUGGUUGUAUAUACAGGUCAGUAUCUUAUUCAAUGUCCAGGGGUCCUGGAGUGGUUGUAUAUACAGGUCAGUACCUUAUUCAAUGUCCAGGGGUACUGGAGUGGUUGUAUAUACAGGUCAGUACCUUAUUCAAUGUUCAGGGGUCCUGGAGUUGUUGUAUAUACAGGUCAGUACCAGUACCUUAUUCAAUGUCCAGGGGUACUGGAGAAUUGAGGUGGGUUAAUACUUAAAAGUCAGGUCUCGUGUGGC
rnacentral:lncRNA from 1 species